GUGAGGGCCCUCUGGGUCCAACCUCCCACCCGUGUCUAUCGUACCUUGUUGCUUCGGCGGGCCCGCCGUUUCGACGGCCGCCGGGGAGGCCCUGCGCCCCCGGGCCCGCGCCCGCCGAAGACCCCAACAUGAACGCUGUUCUGAAAGUAUGCAGUCUGAGUUGAUUAUCGUAAUCAGUUAAAACUUUCAACAACGGAUCUCUUGGUUCCGGCAUCGAUGAAGAACGCAGCGAAAUGCGAUAAGUAAUGUGAAUUGCAGAAUUCAGUGAAUCAUCGAGUCUUUGAACGCACAUUGCGCCCCCUGGUAUUCCGGGGGGCAUGCCUGUCCGAGCGUCAUUGCUGCCCUCAAGCACGGCUUGUGUGUUGGGCCCCCGUCCCCCUCUCCCGGGGGACGGGCCCGAAAGGCAGCGGCGGCACCGCGUCCGGUCCUCGAGCGUAUGGGGCUUUGUCACCUGCUCUGUAGGCCCGGCCGGCGCCAGCCGACACCCAACUUUAUUUUUCUAAGGUUGACCUCGGAUCAGGUAGGGAUACCCGCUGAACUU
rnacentral:rRNA from 1 species